UCCCACCCCAUCCACAUCCCCUGCCAUCCCCCAGCCCUAAGCCAUUACCAUCUCUGUCCUGGCCACCUCAGGGCACCCUGAGAAGACCAGGAGAUGCAGGUGCAGUGGCUGCUCUUUUGGCUCCUCCUGCUGGAGUUUCCCAGCCAUCAAUCCACUUUUGUGAUCGGGUUUCUACUUGAUUAUUUGUAUCCUGGCAUGACCUUCUUGGUGUUCUGUGGAUGCCUAUCCCUAUUGUGUUUCUGGGAGUUUCUACAGUUGGCCUUUUCCUCCAAAAAAUUAUCUUCCAUGUGAGUAUACUAACUUCCUACAGGUAUACUUGUAAUCACAAAGAAGAAAUUAUUUAAAACAGUUCAUGGUUCUGGACUUUAUUAUGAAUAUUCAGUUUUACCAAAAACAUCAGGGAAAUGAUUUAUUAGCAUAAGAAUUAUAAAAAUAUCUUCCAUUUACAUUAUGAAAAUUGAAUAGGUUGAUGUUUGUUUAACAGAAUGUCAACAGAGCUUUGGGUCAAAAAUAAGUUUUUUUGUGUGCUCUUUAUCAGAAAUGGAGUAUGAAGUUUUGUCAUUUAAAUAGGAAAUUCUGUCUAAACUUUUCUGCUUUAUAAUUCUAUUGUAUGGCUGGAAGGAAAGAUUUCACUGUCCUGUCUAAUGGUUCACUGCAGAAAUGAGCUAACAACAGACAGCUUAACAAGAGAAGAAAAGCAUAGAACAGGCAUUAACGUGGGAGCCAGAAGGGUCAGAUGGUUAAAGAACACCCUCUUUUCAGGGGUGAGGGAGAUAGAUGGAUAUGGGGGCAAUUUAGAGGGUCAGCAAAUGAAUUUUAAUGGAAAUGAAAGAGUCCAAGGAACAAACAGUUGGCCUGAGACAAAGUUCCUCUGAGAUCAUAGGGAUGAGGUGACAAACUGCAGGAAGGCGAAGGGCAGAGCUGCACUGCAUCUCAUGAUUCAGAGAAAGCCCCAGAGAAUCUGUUGGAACUGCCCUUCAGGGAAUCAAUGAAAAGUGUGUCUGGGCAGGGUAAUUUUGAAUGACAUCAUCAAAGUGAAUGUUCCUGGUUGCAGGUGGAGAAGGAUCAGUAUGUCCAAAGUCUGUACUUGAUAGGGAUUUGGCCACUAAGUUGUGCCAUCAUUUGAGCUUUUUUAUCCAUUGGUAAAUUGAGUUCUACAUUUUCUAUUGUCUUUCAUGACAGUAAAAACGUGGUUGUCUGGGGGCUGACUCUCCUUCUGAACAAUGAUUCAAGAAAAAAAGCACUAAUCCCACAAUGCUCUUUUAUAUUCAAGGGAAGAGGAAGUAUGUUUUAUUUUUACAAUCUAGAUAAUUACCCACCCUUCAGGACUGCCUUUCAAGAUACAUAGUAAACAGAAAAUAGAUGAGUUAUAAAGAUAUCUAGGCACAUUUAACAGUCUCUCCUUUUUUUCUUGAAGCAGAGUCACUCUCCAGCCAAGGCUGGAGUGCAGUGGCAUAAUCUCAGCUCACUACAACCUCUGCCUUCUAGAUUCCAGUGAGUUUCCUGCCCCAGCCUCCCAUGUUGCUGGAAUUACAGGCAUGCAGCACCAUUCCCAGCUAAUUUUUGUAUUUUUGGUAGAGAUGGGAUUUCACCAUUUUUGCCAGGUAGGUCUGAACUGUGAACUCAGGUGCUCCACCUGCCUCAGCUUCCAAAAGUGCUGGGAUUACUGGUGUAAGCCACCAUGCCCUGCCUCAUUUAACAGUCUCUACCCCACUUAGUUCUGAAUAGAGAAUUGUCAAUAUAAAUUGGGGGAAGUUUUCUUUUUCUUUUUUUUUGACAGAAUCUGGCUCUGUCACCCAGACUGGAGUAUAAUGGUGUGAUCUUGCCUCACUGCAACCUCUACCUCCUGGCUUUAAGUGAUUCUCCUGCCUCAGCCCCCCCGAGCAGCUGGAACUAUAGGCAGUUGCCACCACACCCAGCUAAUUUUUGUAUUUUUAGUAGCGAUACGGUCUCACUGUGUUUGCCAGGCUGGUCUGAAACUCCCAAUCUCAAGUGAUCCACUCACCUCAGCCUCUCAAAGUGCUGGGAUUACAAGCGUGAGCCACCAUGCCUGGGGAGGGGAUGUUUUUUAAUGUGUCAGUUCUGAUUUUAACUCCCAGGUAAUACAAAUUUCUGGGAGUUAAGAUCAGAAAAAAAUUCUACAAAGAACUUGAAAGAUGUUCUUUCAGGCUGGGAGUGGUGGCUUUUUCAGAUUGUCCCUCUGCAAGAAAGGGUAAGUUUGACAACUGGGUAAGUUUUGUUUUUUUGUUUUCCUUGGUUUUGGGCAUAGUCUGCCAGGUCAGGACGUGGAUAUAUUUUUCUCCCCACAGCUCUGUGCUCUAACCUUGGAGAGGGAGAUGGCCGAGAGCAAGCCUGCCUACAAGCAGCACUGGAGGAGAAAGCAGAGAGUGCCAGAGAGACACAUGAGUGAGGAGCCAGCCCAGAAAUGCCUGUGCCUAAAGAAUGCUUUCUGGAGAGGUUAACAUGGCUGCAGCACAGCGUCAUCGUUACUCAGCAUUGCCCUGCUUGCCCUACCUCAUGGCUGACCCUUCAAGGCCACUGAUGGCUUGCCAGCCACCUCCUCCAUCUGGGUGUCACCUGGGAGCUCAACCAUUUCCAUCAGCUAAAGGCGUUCUGGGACCUCUGACAACUCCUCAACUCCAGUGUCCUCUAGGACAUCAGCCAACUUCUCUAGCUGAUCAUUUUUGGGGACCACAGACACCUACACAGGAGUGUCUCCUGUUACAUCUACCGCCCUUAGCCAAUGAUUUUCUGAGUUCAUACACAACUCCACCCAAGUGUCUUCUGACACCUCUACCACCAUCUACAGAUGAUGAGUUUUAGAGACCACAGACACCUACACAUGAGUGUCUUCUAGCACCUCUACCACCUGCUCCACAUGAUAAUCUUUAGAGACCAUGGUCACCACAGACAUCUCUACCUGAGUAGUACCUCUACCUCCAUCUUCAGCUGAAGAUUUUCUAAGACCAGACUCACCUCAAUCUGAAUGUCUGGUAUCUCUACCACCGUCGCCAGCUGAAGAUGUUCUAAGACCUCACACACUUCCACUUGAGUGUUCUCUGAUACCUCUACCACCAUCUCAAGCUGAAGAUUUUCUGGGACCACACACACCUCCACCUGAGUGUACCAUGUUACCUCUACUGCCAUCUCAAGCUGAAGAUUUUCUGGGACCACACACACCUCCACCCAAGUGUACUCUGUUACCUCUACCACCAUCUCCAGCUGAAGAUUUUCUGAGCCCACACACACCUCCACCCGAGUGUACUGUUACCUCUACCACCAUCUCAAGCUGAAGAUUCUCUGAGACCAGUCACCUCCUCCAGUCAAGUGCUCUCUGGUACCUCUACCAUCUUCUCCAGCUUGUGAUCUUCUGAAACCACAGACACUUCCAGCAAUUGAGUGUCUUCUGGGACUGCCUUCAUGUCUUCCAGCUAUUUGUUUUGUGGGAUCUCCACCAUCUCCUCCAGCUGCGUCUCCUAUGGGACUUUAUCCACCUCAUCCACUUGUCUAUCCUGCUGAACCUCAGGCACCUGAUCCUAUCUGUCCUGAGGGACCUUAUCCACCUCAUCACCCUGUGUGUCCUGGGGGACCCCAUUCACCUCAUUGCCCUGUGUGUCCUGGGGGAUCCCAUCCACCUCAUCCCUCUGUGUGUCCUGGGAGACCCCAUCUACCUCAUUGCCCUGUCUUUCCUGGGGCACCCCAUCCAUCUCAUCCAGCUGUAUUUCCUUUUGGAUAUUACCUUCUUCCUCCAGCAGUGUGACAUCUGGGUUCUCAGCCUACUUGUCCACUUAGUGGCCACUGGCACCUUGGCCACCUUCUUUACCUUGGUGGCCUCCCUUAGCUAUCACUUUUAAAUGAGUCUCCUCUAGUACCUAAAGAAUUUCCUCAUGAUCUCUCAGCCCUCAGCCACCUCCUUCCUCUAGGUCUUCUCUAGUACUUCAGCCACCUCCUUCACUUGGCUGACCUGCUGUCUCAGCUGACACUCAGCCUUCACCUGUCUUGGCCUCAGACUUCACCCCCUCCUUUAGUCACGUGGUCUCUGACACCUCCACCAACACCUCUAAAUGCACCGCUUGAUGUGUUGAUUUGAAUUGUAUAAAGUAAUUUGUAAAAAAAUUCAUCUCUUCUUUUUUUGAGUGAAUAGAAAGAAAUGUCACAGAUUGUACUGCAGGGCUUUGCAGUACAAGGGUAAC